UUAUUAUCUACCUUUUGUCAAUUGAAAUGUUUCUUGAUUGGUGUAUUAAGAGAAUUAUCACAAUUAAGAAAAUUCUAAGUAUACAUGGCCAGCAUUAUCAGACUUCUGGGAGAGGUUUCCUGGCUCCCCUUUUUUUGUUUGUUAAGAAGAGUUUUAAAAGUAUGAUGGGCACAUUCAACAAUUCCUUGGCCUGUGGGACUAUGACAGAUGCCUGUUUUGUGUUGAAUUUCCCAUCUUCAUAGAAAUCUUGAGUGGGUUGGGCUGUAUACCCCAGUCCAUUAUCAGUUUUAACUUGUUGUGGACAGCCCAGAUGGCUAGAAGCCUCAAGCCAAUGGGCCUGCAUGUUCUUAGCUGAUUCACCUGUAAGGGUGAAAGCAUGUAAUACUCUGGAGAAAGUAUCAAUAGAGACAUGAAUAAAUUUAAACUUCCCAAAAGGGGGGUAAUGGGUGACAUCAUUUUGCCAGAUUAUUUGUGGCUCUAAGCCUCUGGGAUUAAUUCCAAUAGAGGGCAAUGCCUUACCUAAGGCCUGGUAAAGAAUCUGGACAUUCUUUAAUAAUUUGUUUGGCCUGAGAACAUGGGAGUUUGAACUCCUUGCAAAGUGCAUGACGAUUUUGAU